GCCACCCUAGCUCAGCUGGUAGAGCGGCUGAUUCGUAAUCAGCAGGUCGGGGGUUCGAGCCCCCCGGGUGGCUCCA
rnacentral:tRNA from 1 species